GGAGUCUAGCAUGUGCGCAAGUCAUUGGGAUUUGCAUUAUAAACCUAAAGGCGAAAUGAAAGUGAAGGCGUGCCUCGCGCGCAUGUCGAGGGAGGAUGGGUCGUCGCAUUAGUCGCGACCUCGCACUCCCGGGGCGUCUCGUUCUCCGUCGCGAUUCUUUCGCGCGCGCGAGAUGAGGCGCACCUAGAGCGUACACGCUGGGACCCGAAAGAUGGUGAACUAUGCCUGGUCAGGACGAAGUCAGGGGAAACCCUGAUGGAGGUCCGUAGCGAUUCUGACGUGCAAAUCGAUCGUAAGAACUGGGUAUAGGGGCGAAAGACUAAUCGAACCAUCUAGUAGCUGGUUCCCUCCGAAGUUUCCCUCAGGAUAGCUGGCGCUCGUUAUAUAUACGUGUGCAAAUUUUGUACAAUAUACGAGUCUCAUCCGGUAAAGCGAAUGAUUAGAGGCAUUGGGGUCGAAACGGCCUCAACCUAUUCUCAAACUUUAAAUGGGUGAGAUCUCCGGCUUGCUUGAAUCGUGAAGCCGCGAGAUCGGAUCAGAGUGCCAAGUGGGCCAUUUUUGGUAAGCAGAACUGGCGCUGUGGGAUGAACCAAACGUCGAGUUAAAGCGCCUAAAUCGACGCUUAUGGGAUACCAUGAAAGGCGUUGGUAACUUAAGACAGCAGGACGGUGGCCAUGGAA
rnacentral:rRNA from 1 species